CUGACAGACCAGAGAGGAUGACUAUACAAGAGUACCACAGAGACCCCAACAGGAAACACCCUCUGCUGGGUCUACAGCACCUGGUGGAGUACUGCUGUGAAGGGCAUGACCAAAGGAGAUCCUACCUCUGUCAGCUCUGUCGCCUCCCCGUCCCCUCACGGAGGGUCAUCAAACACACAAUCAGCUUCGACCACCUCUACUGGUACUUCGUAAGUAACUGUGUUUGUGUGUAUCUGGGGACUCACACUUGGUAAGAAUCUGCUACCAGCAACCAGUCAUUUUCAAUGAAAGGAGAGGAGGACAGACGCACAUCGACUUAAAGGUCAACCACAAGAGAGCAAGCAACCAAUGUUCUGCAUUUCCAAUAUUAUGCAAAUUGCAGCGAAGCGACCGCAUGAUAGCCAAUCGGAAGAGGGCAAGCUCUUGCAAGCAAGCUUCGACGUUAGCUAACCACAAAUUUAUUUUCAUGCGUGCUUUUUGAAGGAUACACCCGUGAGAUGGUGUAUCAACUACUUCAUCGCUCAUUACCGCUCCAAGUGUGAGUCUGGCGUGUAUGUUACACCCUCUACUGGUAUUUCUUGACUAUCUCUGUAUGUGUAGAAGGUGUGUCACCCCUCCACCCUCCUGAUGAAGGACUGUUAUAAAGAGUACAGCUGCAGGUUCAUCUCCAUGAUCCUGGACCUGGCCAAUCAGGCGCAAGACAUCAGUCAGUCAGCCAAUAAGGAGAUACAGCAAGUUGUGUUGGAACCAGCAGCGUUCUCCUCAGUUGAGUUUUCUGUCUACACAGAGGGUGAGUAGACACGCAUACAAACGCACUCUUUAAAAUAAUGAAUCCAUGUGAUCUAAGCCUCUGUCUCCGGAACACGUAUACUGCUGCAGCAUGGGGUGGAAUCCAGCCAACUGCUCUUUCAGCAACUGUUUCAGCAACCCACACCUGUUGAAAAAAUGUCAAUCAUACAUACAUAUUUUGAUUCUUAAAUGUGUGUACACACUGCAGGGUCUCUAUCUCUCACACACACUGACAUGUGUUUGCUGUGUGUAGCUCUGAGGAAGUUGCAGACCAUUAGGAGAGAUCUUAAGGAGGGCAGCCUUAAGACCAGCAUUACACCUGGAGACAAACUGGUUCCUUUCUCAGAAGGGUCAAAGAUUACCAAAGAUGUUACCAUGACUACCGUUGCCGAGGCUGUUCUUAUGGAGCCCAAGUCAAGCCCAGAGAAGACCUAUGUCACACCUACAGCUGUUGAGACUGUAGCUACAGCAAGUACUGCUCCAGUUGUUACCACAGCUACUAGCCAGAGAGGGACCUGUCGACUGCACUGUCAGGACUGCAACGUGGUAUGUGAGUUUGUGUCGCAGUACAAGUUACAUGUGCGUCACUGGAAACACAAGAAGAUGCUAGGAGAUAUCUUUGGACCAGGUACUAGUGAUGUUGAUCACCAACCAUAAAAAAAAUCAACUACUGCAUCGUUGCCCCAUCAUACUAUA
rnacentral:lncRNA from 1 species